GUUAUAAAUAAUUGAACUUCCGGUAAAAAAAUAGCGGGUUGUUUGAUUUUUGCAAUUUUUACGAAAACUCAACAAUAUGCAAAGAUCAGGGAGAAUGAAAAAGGAACUAGAAAUGUUAUCUAAAUCUCCACCAUAUGGAAUAUCCUGCUGGUCCAAGGAUGAAAGGAUAGAUCUGUUACAAGCGCAAAUUCUAGGUGGAGAGGGGACGCCUUACCAUAAUGGUAUUUUUACACUGGAGAUCCAGAUUCCUGAAAGGUAUCCUUUUGAACCCCCGAAAGUUCGGUUUGUGACCCCUAUCUACCAUCCCAAUAUAGAUACAGGGGGAAGAAUUUGUCUAGAUACAUUGAAAAUGCCUCCCAAGGGGGCAUGGAAGCCAUGUUUAAACAUCAGUACAGUGUUAACCAGUAUACAGUUAUUAAUGGCAGAACCAAAUCCUGAAGAUCCACUGAUGGCUGAUAUUUCUAAUGAAUAUAAAUACAACAAGACCUUGUAUGUAGAGAAUGCAAAACAGUGGACUAAAAAUCAUGCUGUCGAGAAAAAUGUCAGUGAAGAAAAUCCAAUGAAAGCUAAAUCAGUCACAGACACAGGAGUAAAGUGUACUCAACCCAUGUGUGAUGUUACCAACAAAAAAGCAAGAGAUUCUUGACAAUGCUGUUGGAUGUUGACUUCAAUUUUAUAAUUGCCAUCUACUGUGAUGUGAUCACUGGUGAUCAUACCUGUGUUGGACAUAGGACACUUAAAAAAGUCUUGCAUCUAUAUUGCUACAUAUAUAUGUCAUUGAAAUAAGGUGUAUACAAAUAUCUUUUUAAAUUUGAACAAUGUUUUUAAAGCCUAUGGACUUGAAUAAUUCAUAGAUGUCAAGUCUUACUUUUGUGGCUGUCCCUUAUACAUUCAUGAAAUUAAUUAUAAAAAAAAUGAUUCCAAGAAAAGCUGUCAAUAGAAGUUUGUUCAAGACUGUGGAAUCAUUAUUAUUCAUUGGAUACCAAUUUUCAUGGAUAUUUGAACCACGAAAUUUUAAUGUUCAUCAAAUGACAAAUUUUCUAUAGGCUUGUAUGCAGACUUCGCCAAAAAAAUGAAAUUAGACAUCCAUGAACUUGAAAGUUUUCUUUAAUCCACGAAAAAUUGGUACCCAUGAAAAUAAAUGAAUCCAAAGUAUACAUGUAUUAGUGCUGUAAAAACUUUUUGUUUAUUUUUGUUAUUGGGUUGCUUUCAUUUUAACAUUAUCAAAUACCCUAAUUCUCUUGUUAAUCUUUGAAAAUUGUAUAUUUCUGUUGUUUUGAACUAUUUAUGAUCAUUCCUGUGUAAGGAGAGAAUGUUCUGUAUAAAGGGAGUUAAUCAUCUUUGACAUUUGAUGUAAUGAGCUAUUUUUAAUCCUGUAUUAGGAGAGAAUGUUCUGUACAAAGGGAGUUAAUCAUCUUUGACAUUUGAUGUAAUGAGCUAUUUUUAAUCCUGUAUUAGGAGAGAAUGUUCUGUACAAAGGUAGACGACUUUAUUUUUGUAUUAAACUAGACAUGCUAGAAAUAAAUGAAUAUUGUGCCAAAUUAAACACUGAAAAAGAAA